GCAGCCUGUACCGCGAGCCACGCGCUCCACUGUUCGCAUUUCAUUUUUCCCCGAUAGUACAUCCCAUUCCGAAUUUCAAGACAUGCUAGAAUGGCAACACUUCGCCAAGCCUACCGGGGACUCGGAAAAUGGUGCCAGUUGACUCUUCGACGAAAAUCAUCGGUCCAUCAUCGUGCCUUCCCUCUGCAGCGUCUACAGCGCAACGACACUCCGUUCCGCAAAGCACCGUGGAUAGUGACGGCUUCACCACCCGCCGCAAGCCCUUGGCCUUUUGUAGGUGGCGGUACCUGCACAGGUCUUUGGCGAAUGCGGCGACGGCACACGGCCGAGAUAGUAACAAUGCCACUGAAAUUACUCCGCUACUCUUUUAAGCCUCAUUGUGGGUCAAGCUUGAGCGCACUCUUUGAAUCGGGAGAAAAAUGCGAACACUAGUUGUAUGUCUCAAAAAAUAAUUAACGUUUCACAAAUUCUUUCGUUCGGUUUGGCCUCUUAUACUAAUUGCCAUCAUCACUGCAAUUACAAAAUGGCCCAUAAAAGCAACACUCAAAAAUGUUGAUCAACGUAUUAUAGUUAAUUUGCGUUCCGAUCAUGAUCCUUUCCUUCGCCCAUAAUGUCCGCAAUGAAGGCGGCGUCUACAUACAUGUAACCCUUUUUUUUUUUUUGUAAAAUGAAUUGUUUUCAUUAUAAACCAAAAGCACCCUGCAUAUCUGCCGGGUGCGUUAAUCUAAAGACCUUUCGUUUUGCAUGUCUAUCGGAUCCGUCAACACCGCGAAUAUGUUUC